AAUGAACGCUGGCGGCGUGCCUAAUACAUGCAAGUCGAGCGAACAGACGAGGAGCUUGCUCUUCUGACGUUAGCGGCGGACGGGUGAGUAACACAUGGAUAACCUACUUAUAUGUCUGGGAUAACUACGGGAAACCAGAGCUACUAACAGCGAAUAUAUUGAACCGCAUGAUUCAAUAGUGAUAGACGGUUUUGCCGUCACUUAUAGAUGGAUCCGCGCCGCAUUAGCUAGUUGGUAAGGUAACGGCUUACCAAGGCGACGAUGCGUAGCCGACCUGAGAGGGUGAUCAGCCACACUGGAACUGAGACACGGUCCAGACUCCUACGGGAGGCAGCAGUAGGGAAUCUUCCACAAUGGGCGAAAGCCUGACCGAGCAACACCGCGUGAGUGAAGAAGGCCUUCGGGUCGUAAAACUCUAUUAUUAGGGAAGAACAAAGGUGUGAGUAAAUCUGGACGUUUUGACGGUACCUAAUGAGAAAGCCACGGCUAACUACGUG
rnacentral:rRNA from 1 species